rnacentral:rRNA from 1 species
UAGAGUUUGAUCCUGGCUCAGAUUGAACGCUGGCGGAAUGCUUUACACAUGCAAGUCGAACGGCAGCACGGGAGCUUGCUCCUGGUGGCGAGUGGCGAACGGGUGAGUAAUGCAUCGGAACGUGCCGAAUAGUGGGGGAUAACGCACCGAAAGGUGUGCUAAUACCGCAUACGCCCUGAGGGGGAAAGUGGGGGACCGCAAGGCCUCACGCUAAUCGAGCGGCCGAUGUCGGAUUAGCUAAUUGGUGGGGUAAAGGCUCACCAAGGCGACGAUCCGUAGCGGGUCUGAGAGGAUGAUCCGCCACACUGGGACUGAGACACGGCCCAGACUCCUACGGGAGGCAGCAGUGGGGAAUUUUGGACAAUGGGGGAAACCCUGAUCCAGCCAUGCCGCGUGUCUGAAGAAGCCUUCGGGUUGUAAAGGACUUUUGUCCGGGAGGAAACCCUGAUCGUUAAUAGCGGUCGGGACUGACAGUACCGGAAGAAUAAGUACCGGCUAACUACGUGCCACAGCCGCGGUAAUACGUAGGUGCAGCGUUAAUCGGAAUACUGGG